rnacentral:rRNA from 1 species
UGGCGCACGGGUGCGUAACGCGUGGGAAUCUGCCCUUGGGUACGGAAUAACAGCGAGAAAUUGCUGCUAAUACCGUAUAAUGACUUCGGUCCAAAGAUUUAUCGCCCAGGGAUGAGCCCGCGUAGGAUUAGCUAGUUGGUGAGGUAAAGGCUCACCAAGGCGACGAUCCUUAGCUGGUCUGAGAGGAUGAUCAGCCACACUGGGACUGAGACACGGCCCAG